rnacentral:rRNA from 1 species
AACGAACGCUGGCGGCAUGCCUAACACAUGCAAGUCGAACGAGACCUUCGGGUCUAGUGGCGCACGGGUGCGUAACGCGUGGGAACCUGCCCUUAGGUUCGGAAUAACUCCCCGAAAGGGGUGCUAAUACCGGCUAAUGUCUUCGGACCAAAGAUUUAUCGCCUUUGGAUGGGCCCGCGUUGGAUUAGCUAGUUGGUAGGGUAAAAGCCUACCCAGGCGACGAUCCAUAGCUGGUCUGAGAGGGUGAUCAGCCACACUGGGACUGAGACACGGCCCAGACUCCUACGGGAGGCAGCAGGGGGGAAUAUUGGACAAGGGGCGAGAGCCUGAUCCAGCAAUGCCGCGUGAGUGAUGAAGGCCUUAGGGUUGUAAAGCUCUUUUACCCGGGAUGAUAAUGACAGUACCGGGAGAAUAAGCUCCGGCUAACUCCGUG